AUACGUAGGGGGCGAGCGUAAUCCGCAAUUAUUGGGCGUAAAGAGUACGUAGAAGGUUUCCUAAGCGAGGGGUUUAAGGCACUGGCUUAACCAAUGUUCGCCCCCCGAACUGGGGAACUUGAGUGCUGGAGAGGAAAGCGGAAUUCCUAGCGUAGCGGUGAAAUGCGUAGAUAUUAGGAGGAACACCAGUGGCGAAGGCGGCUUUCUGGACAGUAACUGACACUGAGGUACGAAAGUGUGGGGAGCAAACAGGAUUAGAUACCCUGGUAGUCCACACCGUAAACGAUGAGCACUAGGUGUCGGGCUCGCAAGAGUUCGGUGCCGCAUGUAACGCAUUAAGUGGUCCGCCUGGGGAGUAUGUACGCAAGUAUUAUUUUCAAAGGAAUUGACGGGG
rnacentral:rRNA from 1 species